CACAACACAUAGAUGUUGAAGUU
rnacentral:siRNA from 1 species